UUUAACGGUAAAAAACACAUGGGAUUGUAAUGCUUUCUGAGCCAGAUAAAAUAGACCUAUACCAUUUCAUUAGUUUUUCAUAUUCCAUUACUUUCUGUUACAUUUGUUUAAAACAACACUAAUCAAUUUUGUCAAACUCCUUGCUGAUAUAUUGAAAGAUUUACUACUUUAACGUUAAAAGAAAAGUGAUGGUGUAUCAGCAAUCCUUCCAUACGCAAAACAGUUUCAUCGCCAUCAUUUCAAGGCGACCAAAACCUCCAGUUACAGCUGUUUUAAUUACGUUAUAAGAUGGACCGUUUACUACGUGAGUAGGAGAAAACCGUUGUCCAAUAGUGCCGAAGAGGGCGGCUACCCAACCAUCAUAAAUUCCACACGAUGACAUGAACUGCUUCAGAGAGAAAACGGUCCGUUACCACACAAGCAUUCAGGAUCUUUGAAGGAAACAACAAUGCAAGGAAUAAAUUUUCAUCGACUUUGGAGAUCAGCCCUAGUACUCUUUUCAUUUGUACUGUUCUGUUCGUGUACAGCGAGCGCAUCACGUGACGACUUUCAGACUGUCCCUACGGAUCGGGAAAUGGGCGGAGAGCUUGCUUACAUUCUAUCCAAUAUUCGUCAAAAGUUACGGAACACUGACUCAGAAUCAUUUCCAGUUUUAUUGCAACCUUCAUCAUUAAAUGCCAAAAGAUCCAUUUUCGGAAACAGAUCUACACAAAAACGCGGAGGGAUAUGGAUUUGGAUGCCGGCGCAGGGAUACGUGUCUGUACCACGUGACGAAGUCAGUGGAGGAGGUAGCAAAGGCGCUUCAUCAAAUCUCCUUAGAUACGGUUAACGGACAGUUUUGUCUUCAUGGAUUUAUGCCAAUCACCAUGACAAGCAUUUGUUUAUUUUUUCAAAAUAAAGCAGAUAUAUAAA